rnacentral:rRNA from 1 species
UGGGGAAUAUUGCACAAUGGGCGCAAGCCUGAUGCAGCCAUGCCGCGUGUGUGAAGAAGGCCUUCGGGUUGUAAAGCACUUUCAGCGGGGAGGAAGGCGAUAAGGUUAAUAACCUUGUCGAUUGACGUUACCCGCAGAAGAAGCACCGGCUAACUCCGUGCCAGCAGCCGCGGUAAUACGGAGGGUGCAAGCGUUAAUCGGAAUUACUGGGCGUAAAGCGCACGCAGGCGGUCUGUCAAGUCGGAUGUGAAAUCCCCGGGCUUAAACUGGGAACUGCAUUCGAAACUGGCAGGCUAGAGUCUUGUAGAGGGGGGUAGAAUUCCAGGUGUAGCGGUGAAAUGCGUAGAGAUCUGGAGGAAUACCGGUAGCGAAGGCGGCCCCCUGGACAAAGACUGACGCUCAGGUGCGAAAGCGUGGGGAGCAAACAGG